rnacentral:lncRNA from 1 species
GUUUUUCAAAUACAAAAUAGAAUUUACGAUAAUGAAAGACUCAAAAAACUCAAAUAGACUAUGAUAGUCUCUGACAUCACCUAAAAGACCCAGUACUACAGGACAGGAUUACAAAGGGAAAGACAAACAUAAAAACAGACUCAAAACAUAAAAAGGCUCUUUAAGCAGCUCCUGAAUGCAAUAGUCCUGGGGUAUCUGUCAUGCUCGAGUACUAGUACAUGGAUACACACCUGAAUGAGAAAAAUAAGACCAAAUAGAUUAGUGACUCAAGACAUUAUGGAACCUCCUAUUGACACAUGCAAGAAAUGAUUGGUCUAUUUUUGCAAAAUGGCAUAUGUGGCCAAAAGUGACUAUUAGUGCUAACUCAAAAUAAAGGUGACCUCAAAGACAAUGAAAAUACCUCACUAAGACUUAUAUGGAUUCAAACUCCCGAUAAUCAUGACCCAAAAUUAAUUUGCAGAAAUAACUCAUUCUGGCAAAAAUGACCAAUAUGGCCAAAAGUGGAUAAAGAUGCAAACUCAAAAAGGAUGAACCUUAAAGUAAUAUGACACCUAGUUGUGGACUCAAGAACCUAAGACAUGGGUCAUUGAACCACUUUUGCAAAAAUGACCCCAUUUUGCAAGAAUGACCGAUGUGGCCAAAAGUGACUAGACAUGCAAAUUCAACAGGAAUGGGCCUUGAAGUAAGGAGACAGCUAAUUGUGGAUUCUAGACUCUCCAAAUUCGAUUCAACAAGCCACUUCGCAAAAUAGCUCUAAUUUGCGACAAGACCGAUAUGGCCAAAAGUGGCUAGACAUGUAAGAUUUGGCUAAGACCCUACGAAGCCAAGAACCUAAGACUUACUAUGAAGACCGGACCCUAUGUGGGCUGCCUACGUAUCCCGCCCUGAAAGACGAGAAUCAGGUAUGCGUAGUUCAGGAAGAUUGAAUACAGAAAGUAAUUAAAAAAAACUGAUUUGGAGAAAACAUAUUUUUUUUGUUUUUCUUUUGUUUUUUGUUUUUUGUUUUUUGUGAAAUAUGUAAAAUCUUUUUGGAUUUUCUUUUCUCUUUUUUUUUUGAAAAAUGAUGGGAAAGUGCAAAAUCUUUUUGGAUUUUUCAUUUUCAUUUUUUGUCUUUUUCUUGAAAAAAAUUGUGAAAGAAAAAUAUAAUUGGGCUUUACUUGUUUCAUCUUUAUACUUCACCCUCUUUCCCAAACAUCAGUCCGCCAAAUGACCUCCUACCCUGAAAGAUGCAACAUGUAUCACAUAAGAAUGAUUGAAUGUCUUUUUGGGUCACGAGCCCAUUUUGACAAAAUUUGGAUAGGCCUCCUACAGAGGGACACGGUACCUGGGACCGAACCCUGCUAAGUGUAAAUGACAUGAUGCAAAUAAGCAUGACCUAAAGGCUGACCUAAGUUUGGGGUUCACUAGACAAGGCAAUUCGGGGCGACACGUGGUCGAUGGCGGUUGGUCUAACUGUCCGUCCACUCCCACGCCACCCCCUAAAGACACGGGUAACUCACAAAAAGGUCAUGUAUGCUCAAACGUACUCCGGAAGACUUGUUACAGAAAAAGACCCAUGGUUAUGUAGAUGAUGACAAUUAUAAAGCGGUAAACACAUAAGGAAAAGCAUAAACAAAUAACCAACAAAACAGCAAAUAAGACAAACAAACCAAAUAGACAAAGCAAAUAAAAAAAAUAAACACCUCAACCGAAUAUCCUAAAAGUCAACAAGAUCAAGUAUCAGCUCGAACCUGCAACUCCCCAGCAGAGUCGUCAAAGCUGUCAAACCCCUUUUUCACAAACCUCACUAACCCUCUUUAAAUCAAUAAAAAGAUUUUUGAAGCUCAAAAGGGUUUUCAAACUUGAAAAGUGACAAAGAAUUGUGUUCAAAAGGAUUAACUCAGAGUCGCCACCUAACAUUGGUUUCGGUGUGCUAGGUCACCGUAUUUUUUAAAAAUGAUUUUUCCUUUUAAAACACUUUGGACUCUAAAACUAAGUCUGCACCAUAGAUUCAGGUAAGGGAGUACAAUUGACUCGGGGAGAAGGUAUUAGGCAUUCCCCGAGUUCCGUAACUAGUAUGGUUGCAUACAUGAUCAAGUUGGCAUUCAAAAUAUUCAAACUGAGAUAAAAAACACAGAGAAGGGAAAAUAAACACACAAGAGGCUCGAGGUCAUCUCCACCUAAAAAAGGAGGUAAAAAUUAAAUAAAAUAAGAAUAAAAAGUACUACGAGUUCGCUUUCGGCCUCCAAUUACAGAAUACUACGGGGCAUUCCCCGGAAUAAAAUAUAUACAAAUCCUUUGGGGCAUUCCCUGGAUAAAUUUAACUAAGGGAACGACCUCUCACCUCAAAACUAACAAAAAUCCUAAGGCUUGCCUACCCAAGUGUGUUCGGCCUAAACAUACUCCUAUCAAAGAAAUAAAAAUGAAAUAGUGAACAUGUAAAACUCAAAUCUCAGUUGUUUUUUACUUAAGAUCCCAAAAAUAUGUCCCCAUACAAAAUCACGUCUUUCUAAAGUAUCUUCAUGUCAAUUAACAGAAUGGACAAGAAAAUUAAUGAAAACAUUUAGAGCAAUCAUGAGGAAUUGAAAAGCAACAUACAUUGAAUUAACAAAAAAUUACAAUGAGAUCAAACCCCUAAACAAAAUAAAUACUCCAGCACUAAAAUUCUUGUUUUCAUGAUUCUUAUGAAAGAAAGCAAUAGCAUACUGCUACACUUUAUCGGAAAACAAAAAUGAGUGAUCCUAACAAUUCAUAUUAGUCGCGGCGUGAUGGCGCCUUGUUAAAAUUAAAGCUAGCAGGAAGCACCCAAGACUAACUAGAGGCAUGAGUCACGGAUUCCAAUUUAGAGCACAUGAAACUUACACAUGAAAUUGAAAUGAGCCUAAUAGUUCAAUCGAAAUUUAAGCUAAAAGCUAAAGAAAUCAGUAAAUGAAAUGUCAAACAAACUAUGAGAUCAAAGAACCAAUCUACAUAUUUAGAACCUACGCCAAAUUUGUUAUUUGUAAUUGAAACUAAUCAAACUACAAUAAGGGAGAAAAUCAAUAGUAGAAAAAUUAGCUAUGCCAAGAAGUCAUGCUGAUUGCUGCAAUUUCAGUACAUUUAAUUUAGCUUUACAGAUCUAAUGCAAGAGGCAUACAUAACACAGAAUCACGAUAAAUCAGAAAAAUAUCAGUUCAUAUAGUAAGAUUACUGUGAUGACAAAUAUGUCAAGAAGAACGGACCUGAGAUAGUCUUUUAAUUAGUGAAACUCAUCAGUUACAACAACUAAAUAGAAAUGAUGAUUCUGGAAUUGAAACCUUCAACGUGAAAACUUCAAACAAAAGCAGCGAAAUGCCACCUUUGACCUCAAACAAUGCCCCAAUCAGAUGAACUCGAUCUGACCUCAAACUUAAUCGAAUUCAUAGUCGAAAACCAAAAAUCAUAGAAGGAAAGGUGAAAAUCUAAACCAAAACCUUGAAAAUAUCGGCCCUCUCUGCCCGAAUUCUUCUGUCCGAUUUUCUCCUCUCUCGCUCCCUGUGUAUAUGCGGCUGUGUGUGUCGAGUUCCUGGCGUGGAGGAGAUGUGGUGGGUCUUAGGUUGAAGCUUAGGGUUGCGGCUCUUAUGAAGUGAAGAAGAAGAGCCGCUCCUGGAGGUGUCUUUCUCUUAGGGAUUUUUUUAGGGGUUUUUGGGUUAGUGAAGGGUGAGGAA